UACUAGAGAAGCAAGAAAUUCCAUCACGGAGAGCUGAAAGAAAAACAAGUUUUCCUCAUUUACAAGAAAACGCCUUUCUGUCAGUUGCCUCCUUUUGUCAAAGUACGGCAGCAUUAUGGCUGCCCUG